rnacentral:rRNA from 1 species
UGGGGAAUUUUGGACAAUGGGCGAAAGCCUGAUCCAGCAAUGCCGCGUGUGUGAAGAAGGCCUUCGGGUUGUAAAGCACUUUUGUCCGGAAAGAAAUCCUUGGCUCUAAUACAGUCGGGGGAUGACGGUACCGGAAGAAUAAGCACCGGCUAACUACGUGCCAGCAGCCGCGGUAAUACGUAGGGUGCAAGCGUUAAUCGGAAUUACUGGGCGUAAAGCGUGCGCAGGCGGUUUGCUAAGACCGAUGUGAAAUCCCCGGGCUCAACCUGGGAACUGCAUUGGUGACUGGCAGGCUAGAGUAUGGCAGAGGGGGGUAGAAUUCCACGUGUAGCAGUGAAAUGCGUAGAGAUGUGGAGGAAUACCGAUGGCGAAGGCAGCCCCCUGGGCCAAUACUGACGCUCAUGCACGAAAGCGUGAGGAGCAAACAGGAUUAGAUACCCUGGUAGUCCACGCCCUAAACGAUGUCAACUAGUUGUUGGGGAUUCAUUUUCCUUAGUAACGUAGCUAACGCGUGAAGUUGACCGCCUGGGGAGUACGGUCGCAAGAUUAAAACUCAAAUGAAUUGACGGGGUCAUA